AAGCUCGUAGUUGAAUUUCGGAAUCAAUUUGUUGGUCGUGCCUCGGUACGUACUGGUAUUAUUGGUUUCUACCUUCUGAAGAACCUUGAUGUCAUUAAUUUGGUGUCUUGGGGAAUCAGGACUGUUACUUUGAAAAAAUUAGAGUGUUUAAAGCAAGCAUACGCUUGAAUACAUUAGCAUGGAAUAAUGAAAUAGGACGUUUGAUUCUAUUUUGUUGGUUUCUAGGAUCGACGUAAUGAUUAAUAGGGAUAGUUGGG
rnacentral:rRNA from 1 species